rnacentral:rRNA from 1 species
ACGCACGCUGGCGGCGUGCUUCACACAUGCCAGUCGCACGGAAAGGCCCUGCUUUUGUGGGGUGCUCGAGUGGCGAACGGGUGAGUAACACGUGAGUAACCUGCCCUUGACUUUGGGAUAACUUCAGGAAACUGGGGCUAAUACCGGAUAGGAGCUCCUGCUGCAUGGUGGGGGUUGGAAAGUUUCGGCGGUUGGGGAUGGACUCGCGGCUUAUCAGCUUGUUGGUGGGGUAGUGGCUUACCAAGGCUUUGACGGGUAGCCGGCCUGAGAGGGUGACCGGCCACAUUGGGACUGAGAUACGGCCCAGACUCCUACGGGAGGCAGCAGUGGGGAAUAUUGCACAAUGGGCGGAAGCCUGAUGCAGCAACGCCGCGUGCGGGAUGACGGCCUUCGGGUUGUAAACCGCUUUCGCCUGUGACGAAGCGUGAGUGACGGUAAUGGGUAAAGAGGCACCGGCUAACUACGUG